GGAGGCGGACGGAUGGUCGCCUUGCCGCUUUACCGCGGUGGGGAGGAAAGUCCGGACACCGCAGAGCAGGGCACUUCCUAACAGGAAGCGGGAGCGAUCCCAGGGAAAGUACCACAGAAAAUAUACCGCCCGCCUAUGGCGGGUAAGGGUGAAAUGGCGAGGUAAGAGCUCACCGGGUCUGCGGCGACGCAGGCCGCAUGGCAAACCCUGCCCGGUGCAAGGCCAAAUAGGGGAGCGCGCCCCGCAAGGGGCAGGAGGCGGCUCGCCUUCGGCUCCCGGGUAGGCCGCACGACGUUGCCGGCAACGGCAAUGCUAGAGGAAUGACCGUCGCCCCGAAAGGGGUACAGAAUCCGGCUUACAGUCCGCCUCCAUUU
rnacentral:RNase_P_RNA from 1 species